GGAUGUACACUGUUUUAUCUGGUUUCUUCCUCACAUAGUCUAGAUCCUGAACAAGUCUUCUCUCUCCCUGUACGACUGAAAUUAGAAGAAAAAAAACAUGCUGACGUUUUCAGUUCAGCCUUAUAACUGCAUUUACUCACGUGUUGCUCAAAUAAAGAGUUCAUUUCACUUACACAGAACAAGUGAGAACAGAAGGACAGUAGACCCAAAAACCAUCUUUCCACUGGAUUGACUUUUCUUCUUCUGUCACCCUCCCUGCUGUUCUGUGUCUUUAACUAAAGUGUUUCACUUUAAGUGGGUGGGUCAGGGGUGUGUCCACUAUUAUCCAAUCAGAACAAUUCUACAUGGAACAGUUGCUUACAUUUAUUCAGUCUGUAAUAAAUUUUGUCUCACUUUAACCACUAUGAAAAGCAGGUGGUAAUGAAUCUUCAGGUUUUUUGAAUUUGUUUUUUUGUUCUGAAGCAGAUCUGUUCGCCUGUGGUCUUGGAGGACUGUAAACAACAGGGUUUCCAGGUCUCCCUGCAGCUCACAGGUUUAAAUGUAUACAGUUGUCUGUCAAUGGAUGAGGUGCAUCACAGUAUGACUGGAACAAAAAUCUCCUGGAUCAGACCUGCAGGACCGUAGAGAACUAGUCAUGCGUUCUUUCAAAAUGUCAGGUUAUUGAACACUAAACAUCUAUAUGAAACAAAAUCUGGAAGCUCUGCAGAGGAGAAAGGUCAAGGUACAGAUGGGUUUGAUGUUCAAAAUAGCGUUUUGGUCUUUUAUGGUUCUAGAGCAUCUACACAAUGCAGUUUUUUUUUUUUUUUUGCUGAUUUUCUGUUCUUUCAGACUUUACCUGGAAGUCAGGAUUGUUUUGAGUUACAGGUUUUUUCCAGGUGGUGUGUUUGGUCUACAUCACUGUGGUAAACCCAACAGGCACAGAAGUAUGUGGCUGAAUGCUUCGUCUGGAGUUUGGAUAUCUUCAGGGUGAAUUUGUCCUUUCCAGGUUAUUUUGGGACAUUCAUCAUACUCUCACUAGUCUGACAGUCUAUCUAUACACAGACAUUGGAGAGGAUGUCCUUUGAACUUAAGUGAGCUAAAGAAGGUAAAAAUAAAUCACGCGCACACACAAUGUCUACGACUGCUUAUACCGAGCGGGGUUGCUGUAACCCGGAGCCUAACCUGUCAACACGGGACGCAAGGCUUUAAAUGGAUUUUUAUGCAGUGGUAGCUCCUUUUAAACCCUUUUGCAAGUUUCACCUUCUUCUCACACCAACUUGACCCCGAAGGUCUAGAAUAUAGGCAGCAUGUGUUUUAUCAGGGAUAUUUUGCCCUAGUUCAGUUCCACUUUCCCUGUACUGCUGAAAUCACUUUCAUAUUACCGCAUUUGUUCACUGAAUGAUCAGAUAAGAAAUUGCACUCAAGUCCUUUACCCAGAAUGAGUGACAACAGAAUGGCCCCAGAGUCGGAGACCAUCUUUCUCCUGGAUUGAUGACUUCUUUCUGUCAUGUCCCUUGUGCUGUGCCUUUAAUUGAGAGGGUGUUUCACCUGAAGGGGGAGGGGCAUGCCUGCAUUACAUUGACCAAUCAGUGAAGUUCUAGCUGGGAAGCACCUAACAGAAGCAAGAUUCCUCCCCCCCAGCUAUCAUGGCCAAUCAGAAAGCAGUUACCGCCUCAUGUUUAUUUGUUCUUUAAUACUUUUUGUCUCUCCCUGUGGCCAGUGUAUGCUGCUCAGAUGUUUUUUUCUUCCA